rnacentral:rRNA from 1 species
UACGUAGGGGGCAGGCGUUGUUCGGAAUUACUGGGCGUAAAGGGCGCGUAGGCGGCACGGCAAGUCAGGAGUGAAAGGCCUGGGCUCAACCGAGGAACUGCUUUUGAGACUGCCGAGCUAGAGUGCGGAAGGGGCAACCGGAAUUCCCAGUGUAGCGGUGAAAUGCGUAGAUAUUGGGAAGAACACCUGAGGCGAAGGCGGGUUGCUGGGCCGACACUGACGCUGAGGCGCGAAAGCCAGGGGAGCAAACGGG